GCAGGCAUAGAUCAAACUCCCACUUCAAGUGUUGCUGAAACAAAUUCUGUAUUGAGCAACUCAUCAAAAAGUCAAACUAUAUUUUAAUUGUCACCAUCAGUUGAAUUUUCUGGUAAUGUUAAAAGUAGUUGCAGGAACACAUCUUCUCAAGCAUCGAGGUUAAUUCCAAAAAGAUUAAAACUACCUGGUGAAACUA